rfam:Triticum aestivum genome assembly, contig: Triticum_aestivum_CS42_TGACv1_scaffold_543424_6DS
ACGACCUUACUUGAACAGGAUCUGUUCUAUAGGCUCGUACCGCUGCAUCCUUUACCAAUAAGGAGGCAAGCACUUCAGUCUGGUUGAUGCAUUCUAACCUCAUGAUUAACGGCCUGGAUUCACCUGAUGGGUGCAUUCAAUGGCUGUAGAGGAUCGUUCCUGCCCGGUUCACACUGGUGCAGGGUGGCUUAGAGGUUGUCUGACAGACU